GUAGAAAUAGUAGUAGUAGUAGUAAUAACAACAGUGACGGCUGUAGCAGUAGUACCUAUUGUAGCAAUUGUAGCAGUAACAGUAGUAGCAAUAGUAUUAGUAGUAGUAGUAGUAUUUAUAGUAGUAGUAGUAGUAUUUAUAAAUACUUAUGUACUUGAAGACUUUUAGCAUCAACCACAGAUCAAAACUUAAGUUUCUCAAUUAGUCUGUCUUACUUCUUCUUCUCAUAUUUCAACAAAUUAUUAUAUUCAGCUAGCUUAUCUCUUCAUUUUCUCUAAUAGAAACAAAUCAAGCCUAAUUGAUCACUUUGUCAUUUGUAGGUUGAUUUUUACAUUUAAAUUCUUCUUCAAUUGAAUUAAUAUGACAACGAAAUUUUUUUUCCUUCAUUUAAAUUAAUUAAUUAAUUAAAGUAAAGAAAUCUGAAAAAAAAAUGUUGAAUGGUUAAUAAUACUAUUAAAAUAAACCAAUUUUUUUUUGGUGUUACAAUAAUGCAGUAGUAGUGAUAGUAGGAGUAGCAGUACUAGUAGCAAUAGCAGCAACACUAGUAGCAGCGACAGUAGUAGUAGAAGCAAUAGCAGUAUUAGCAAUAAUAAUAAUAACAGUGGUAGUAGCAGUAGGAGCAGUAGUAGAAAUAGCAAUAGUGGUAGGAAUAACAGCAAUGGUGGCUGUAGCUGUAAUACUUGUUGUAGCAAUAUUAGCAAUAGUAGUAGUAACAGUGAUAAUACCAGUAAUAGCAGUAGUAGAAAUAGUAAAAAUAGUCGCAAUAGUAGUAGCAGUAGCAGUAGUAACAUUAACAGUAUUAGUAGUAGUUGUAAUAACAGUGGUAGUAGUAGUAGUCGCAGCGGUAGUAGUAGCAGUAUUAGCAGUUGUUGUAGUAGUAGUGGUGGUAGUAGUAGUAGCAAUAGUAAAAAUAAUAGCAGUAGCAGUGGUAUUAGUAGUAGUAGUAGCAUUUAUAGUAGUAGUAGUACUUAUAAAUACUCAUGUACUUGAAGGCUUUAAGCAUCAAUCACAAAUCAAAACUUAAGUUUCUCAAUUAGUCUGUCUUACUUCUUUUUCUCAUAUUUCAACAAAUUAUUAUAUUCAGCAAGCUUAUCUCUUCAUUUUUUUCUAACAGAAAUAAAUCAAGUCUAAUUUAUCAUUUUCUCAUUUGUAGGUUGAUUUUUACAUUUAAAUUCUUCUUCAAUUGAAUUAAU
rnacentral:lncRNA from 1 species